rnacentral:rRNA from 1 species
CAGUAGCCGCGGUAAUACGAAGGGUGCAAGCGUUAAUCGGAAUUACUGGGCGUAAAGCGUGCGUAGGCGGUGAGUUAAGUCUGCUGUGAAAUCCCCGGGCUCAACCUGGGAAUGGCAGUGGAUACUGGCUCGCUAGAGUGUGUCAGAGGAUGGUGGAAUUCCCGGUGUAGCGGUGAAAUGCGUAGAGAUCGGGAGGAACAUCAGUGGCGAAGGCGGCCAUCUGGGACAACACUGACGCUGAGGCACGAAAGCGUGGGGAGCAAACAGGAUUAGAUACCCGAGUAGUCCCUGUCUCUUAUUU